rnacentral:rRNA from 1 species
CACCGCGGUUAUACGAGAGACCCUAGUUGAUUGAAGCGGCGUAAAGAGUGGUUAUGGAAUUUCCUCUUUAAAGCAGAAAACCUCUCAAACUGUUAUACGCACCCAGAGGUUGAAACCCCUCACACGAAAGUAACUUUAUCUUCGCCUACCAGAACCCACGAAAGCUGGGACA